UAGAUUAAAAGGGGGCCCAUGCUGGCAGAACAGGCACGCUCAGUGGUAUCUCAGUACAUCAGGUGGCAUCUUAAAGGGUGUGACCUGUCACAGUGACAUAGUCGAGCAGGAUAAUGUGCACAGCUUAUCGCCCUUUGACACUUGUGGUGAUUCUAAGUGAGUUUUAAGUGUAUUGGCUAAAGAACAGACAAAGUGGUUACUUGUUUGUUAUUUUCUGUUUGCUUACUUUGGGCAAGGGAUGUAGCGACAGGAGAAGUAGGAAAAUGAGUGAAAGUGAAGCUACCAAGAAGUUGGAACACUACUGGUUGCUGGUAGAGGGGAAAAAAAUGCACCGGACAUAGCUGGAAUUAAGACAACUGCAGAUAAAAGAACAGGAAGUAGAAGAAGCCAAACAAAAAGCAUCCCAUGACAGCACCAUGGAAGCCGAGGAGCAAGCUAUGGAAGCCCAGAAAUAAACUAGGGAGCUAGAAGCCAAAGAAGCAACAGCCAGGCAAAAAGCUUCUCUAGAGCUACAAGCCAAAGAAAUGGAAGAGAGAAAAAGAGUGAGGCAACAUGAACUGGCCUUAAUAGAGAAGCAGAACCAAAACCGCACACCAGGGGGUCCCACCUCUCCAAAAAUCCACAAGUGGGACCAGUUGUGUCCACCAUAUAGCGAAUCUGGGGACAACGCUGAAUCACCUUUGAGAGGCUGCAUAUACUCCAUGCGAUUUCUGACAAUCAAAAGAUUACCACUUUGGUUGUAAAAUUGACUGGAAGAGCUCUAGACGUAUUCAAUAAGAUGCGAAUGGGUGAUGCUUCCAAUUACAGUAAAUUUAAGAACUUGGUUUUGAAACAGUUUCAGAGUAAAAUUUAAAGCGUUAAGAGAGGGGCUGGAUUAAGUAAUGUGGCUUAUGUGAACCAAAUGAGAGAAUUACAAGAUAAGUGGGUGAGGGGAAAAGGUAUUACAAGUUUUUAAAGAAUGUUUGAUUUGGUUGCUCGGGAACAAUUCCUGAAUAUGUCUAGUGAUGAUGUAAAACAGUGUUUAUGGGAUAAAAAGGUGGAAAUGGUCGAUGAACUUGCAGCUUUUGCAGAUAAAUUUGAGCAAUCCCAAGACACUAAUAGGAAUAAAUCACAGGCAGAGGGGUUAAAGUUUGGUGGGAAGAAAGGUCCCCGCUUUACCCCUGGGAAGAAGACAGAUGGAUGGGAGGCAGAACACUCACCUCCCCAAGUUCACUCCUCUAGUCUUCAUCCCAAAUCUCCUGUAAAAGCAAAAAAGCCCAGAAGACGCUAUUAUUGUAAUUCCACUGAACACCUGAGGAAUAAAUGCCCUGUGCUGAGUGGGAACAGGCAGCAGGCAACUCUCGGAAAUGCUGCUACCCAGAGCACAGAGGCACCUCAUGCAGUUGCCACUUACCACACAGGAUUUGUAAAGGUUGCCACUGCACAGCCAAGCAGGAAACCCAUGAAGGCUGUCAGAAUGAAUGGCAAAGAGCCAGCAGCGGCUCCAGGCACCAGCAUGCCAAGCGCGUGCCUGGGGCAGCAAGCCACGGAGGGGUGGGGGGCGCUCUGCCGGUUGCCACAAGGAGGGCAGACAGGUUGCCUUCGGUGGCAUGCCUGCAGAGGGUCCGCUGAUCCCACGGCUUUGAUGGACCUCCCACAGGCGUGCCACCGAAUCUGCGGGACCAGGGACUUCCCGCAGGCGUGCUGCCAAAGGCAGCCUGCCUGCCGUGCUUGGGGCGGCAAAAUACCUAAAGCCGCCCCUGCAAAGAGCUCUCUGCCUGGAGAGAUACCGGUGCAGAAAUUUCUGUGGUCAGGAGUGACCUGGUUCAGGAGAAAGACAUACUGCCAGGACAGAUGGCCGAGCUUUUGUUGGUAGGAGGGGGGUCACAAAAUAUUUGUGCCUUUGGCUAAAGUGCACAUGGAAGCUGGGAAUUUGCAAGCUGAGUUGACUGUAGCAGCUGUCCCUCAGAAUCCGACACAAAUUCUUAAGGGGAAUGACUUUUUUAAUGUGGCUAGGGCUGUCCAGGGGUCUGUCAACAACAAGGAGGAAUCUUGUGCUGAAGUCCCAGUGGGAAGGAGCAAAGAUACAGAAACUGCCGAGGAAAUGGGAGAGUGUCUCUAGUUCCUCUACAACCCUGCAAAACAGUUUGCUACCAACGGUGGGGGUGGCUAAAACCAGUUCCUAUCCAGUGGCUUUCCCCUGGGGGGAUGGGAGUGUUUUGCUUGAGGUAGGGAGUCUAUCCAGGUUGCUGGAUGCCAGGAAGUGGCAGUUAAGUAAAAAACAGAACUCACUCUAGAACACAUAGGAAAAUGUAUCCUAGAAGAAAUGUUAGGUGUGGCUCUGCCUGUGUGUGUGCUGGAGGAAGCUUGGCUCAGCAAGAUAGGCAAAAAGGGGACCCAUGCUGGCAUAACAGGCGGGCUCAGCGGUAUCUCCGCACACCAGGUGGCAUCUUAAAGAGGGCAACUCGUCACACUCACUUUUAUAAUUUUAAGUAAGUCUCUUGCUGUUAGAAACACAAAGAAAAUUUAGAAUAUUUUAACCAAUGCAGCAAUGUUUAGUGAGUCUGGAAUAAAGCUGAUUAAAAAAAACCCCAGGAUUUAAUUUUUCCCAAAAAUAUUCAUAAAAUCUAUCUACUUUUCCCUCCCACCUCACCAAAAUCUCUCAGAAUUCAAAAGUUUUUCAACUGGCUGUAGUCUAGAACGAUAGCUUCAAGAGGUGUGAUUGGCCCAUCUAUCUCACUGAGGUGUUAAGUUAUCAUAAUUUGCCAUGGAGGUUAAGUAUCAACUUUGCCAAUUUCAUUGCUCAUUAAGCCAUGCAAGAAAGGAGAGCAUGGAUCACAGAUCUGCACAAAUCUACUGCAAGUGACUUUAUUUUGGCACCAGAAAUAGGUUGCAUUUGGGAGAAACCACCAUUUUCCCCUCCAGUUAAGAAAGAACCAAGCCCAUAUAGGCUCUAGCAAUCAGUUGUUAAAUAAAAAAAAGAAAAAAGAUAUCUAAACAGAUACGCUCUAGCUCAGUCAUGGGAUAGGCUAUUUGAUUACAAUGGCUCCUUCUGUUCAUCUUUGGGGUUACUUACACUGGUGAAGACACUGAAACAGACUGCAGAAUUUUGCCCAGCUGUUUUAGCUGCCUGUUGGCUCUGAAGUGUUAUUGGGUGUUGGCUCUGAAGCCCAAUGAUAGCUAUACAAGGGUGACUGUGACAUGAUAAAGCAGCCACCUAGAAAUGGUAUAGGGAUCCCUGGCUAUCACAUUAUCAGGUGGGUUACGUAGGGAAGAGGAAGCUAGGUCCAGGAACUUCUCAAGGAAGCUGGUAUCCUCUUUCCUCCUUGCUGACUGAAGCAGGAAAAAGCCUCUGGGGAUUGUAACCAGCAUUUCUCAGCAGGAACUGAUUGAGCAUGAAGGUGUUCCCUGGCUGUCAGUAGAUAAAGUAGGUGCUCUUGGCUUUCAUCUGUUCUGAAUUCUCCUUGUCUCAUUAUCUUCACAAGGUCAGAUUCUUUGACACAGGGACUGCUUGCUUAGCACUCCAUUCUGGCAAUUACUUGCCUGGCAACCUUAACCAUAAGUAGAUUGCAUGUAUAUGGCAGCAAUGAAAGUAUCAGCAUACAGGUCAACAGCCGUACAUCCAAAUACCAUUAGAAAAGUGUUAAUUCUACUUAUAUAAUUGUUAUGACUCUACAUUAUCAUAUUGACUGAAACACAAUGUACACAUUAAAAUGUAUAGGUUUAUACCUAAACCCUGAAAUCAGAAUCACAAUUCAUCUUUCCUUUAGGAUCAAUCCUAGAAUUGUUUUUCUAUGUGAUUCUUAAAUAGCAUAUUCACAGAAGGCAUGCUUUGCACUUUCCUUCUUAAAUCCAAAAGAGUUGCUCUGUGAUACACUGGUAAUAGCAGAAUCAAGAGGAGAAGUGUAGGUGAAUAUUAACAACUAUUGUGUAUAUUUAAUAAAGAUUAUACUAAAAUUAAUGCAA